rnacentral:rRNA from 1 species
AUCUAUGGCCAUGCCAGUCUGAACGCACCCGAUUCCAUCUGAUCUCAGAAGCUAAGCAGGGUCGGGCCUGUUUAGUACUUGGAUGGGAGACCACCUGGGAAUAUCGGGUGCUGUAGGCC